rnacentral:miRNA from 1 species
UGUAGUUCCCAUCAAAAUGGUACAGAUAUGCAUUGCUUGGAGUGCUUUCUCUGUGGGUUGGUGUGCAUAUACACACAUGCACACACACCCCACUCAAAGGCACUGAUUCAUAGUUU